ensembl:lncRNA
GCACUGGCUGGGAGGCACCUCCGGGUCUAGAAUGUUCCUGAUCUGUUGUCCUCAUUAGUAACACCUGACUUAACUCAUCCAUACUCCCACGUUGCUCACCAGUGAGAAUUUACUCAGCAUUUUAAUCCAUUAAUUUGCUGCUGCUGAGCCCGUUCUGCCUCGGAGAUAACCACCCCAGAUGCCAAGGCCCUGAAAGAUUGCUGUCUGAAAAGUUUAUUGGAUAAUGAAAUUAAAAAAUCGUCUCGAAUACCAGAUGUGCAAGGCAUUAUGAGAACAACUAGGCACAAAGUUUACAAAGAACUUUUCUGUUGGUGCUCUGAUCUGAUCAACAUAACAAAAAUGUGAGUAUGGCAGGAAUAGCCAGAUGAUUCCAUUUUAGGAACAAGAAAACAGAGGCUUAGAGUUGUCUGUUCGCUUAGAGUGUUUGCAUAUUGUGUUCUGACUUCACACCCUGUUUUUCUGUGUAUUUUACAAAUAAAGUCAAUUCUUGGCUUUCCCUUUUUCACAUUAUUUCCACAUGUUUUUUUUAGUGAAAGGUCAAGAAAAACCUUCUCCCAGGGUGAUCAC